GCGCGCGCGGGGAAAGGCCCCGAAAACACCUUAGUUUGCAUCGAGAGACCAUUUGCAGCGGACCCCGAAAGUUUGCUAGAGGAAGACUGCACGCGGCGAGCGAGUGGCCGAGGGGCAGCGGCGGAGAGGGGAAGCAUGGUGCUGCCGGCGCCUCCUCCGCGGGCGUGAAGGCGGUGCUCCCGCUUCCUCCUCAGACUCUGCUGAGUUCCAGGAGCUUCUGCUGACAAUCCCAGCUUCUGAGCGAUGGUGAGGGCCGCACUGCCUUCUCUGAUUCGCUGUCAGCCAUGAACAGAUGGGUGUGAUGCCUGCUAGCCGAAAGGG